rnacentral:rRNA from 1 species
CCCUUAGAUGUCCUGGGCCGCACGCGCGCUACACUGAUGCAUUCAACGAGUUUUACCUUGGCCGAGAGGCCUGGGCAAUCUUUUAAACCUGCAUCGUGAUAGGGAUAGAUUAUUGCAAUUAUUAAUCUUGAACGAGGAAUUCCUAGUAAACGCAAAUCAUCAAUUUGCAUUGAUUACGUCCCUGCCCUUUGUACACACCGCCCGUCGCUCCUACCGAUUGAAUGCUCAGGUGAGCCAUUCGGACUUUCAUCAUGCUGGUUUCCAGUUUUGAUGAAGGAAAGUCUUGCGAACCUUAUCAUUUAGAGGAAGGAGAAGUCGUAACA